AAACGUAUUACGUAAACAGUCGUUAUUAUAAUUAGAGUAAGUACUAACUACUAGGUUAUUGUUGUGACAAGCAAAUAUUUAUAAUAUAUACGAAUAAGUGUGUGGUUAACAGUGAAUGCAUAAUGAACAGGCAAUGUAACACCACGGCCGGUUAUUUGUAAGGUAAAAGUAUUUGCAAAAACGAAGAAGUGGAAAAAAACAAGAUACAUAGACCGUCUGGGCAGUCAGAGUUGUUUACAAUAUUUGAGCGUCGACAGUUCCCGCCGUUUUUCGCACAGGUUUACAUAUUAUAUUGUUUCCACGGUAAAAAAUAAAAUGCACAAACCUUGCGCCAUGUCGUCUGUCGUGUUCGACGAAUCCGGUGUACUCAUAGGCCUUUGAAAAUGAUGGUCGGUCUUAUGAUAUUUUGUUAUUUUAUUGUUGCUGGACGGUCUUGCUCCGAGCGGUCUGCGGCGGGUCGUCUACGGUUUUAUUAACACGGUUUAGCCGCUGUUGUGGCGCGGUACAGAUAGUAGCGGCGAGAUAUCCGGUGAAAAAAGUGGGAAAGCAUGUAAACACAAGGUGAAAAAAAUUUAACUGACGAAACCGGAAAAGCGUUGACGUGCACCGCCGUUCCCGUUGGCGUGAGAUCUGGCUCGGUCGCCGUGUGCAGAUGUCCUGGAUUCAGGAAUCCGUUAAAUUUUCAAACGGCAAAAUAAUAAUCGGUUAUCUCCCCGUCCCCACUAGGGCGGUCGCCCGACGCGUACGCCACAAGUCACACGAACGCGCGCCGAUUUAACGGAACCGUCAGUGUGGCCAACCGCUGCGCAUCUGCGAGCCCCGAUAACGAAUGCGCGCCGAAAAUCAGAGAUAACGCCAGAUAACUGAUAAGAGAUAACAAACGGCAUUCUGCCCGGUGGCCGUUUGGGAUUUGGGCAUUGAUUAAAUACAAUAUAUUAUUAUAUUAUAAUAUAAUCUUUAACUUAUUAAUUGAAACAAUUCGUAAAUUGUAAUACCUAUUACUUGUGUUUAUAUUUGCCCUUUAUUUUUGUUCCGACGUCACAUUACUAGUUACUAGUCGUUUUCACCAAAAUACUGUAAAUGUUUCAAUAACUUCUGAAGAAUUGGAAGAAGGUAUUGACGUACCAGAAUGCAGUUAUGUCAUCAGGUAUGAGAUGAGUAACUAUCCUUCUUAUGUAACAUCAAAAUCGAGCGGAAUGGUGAAGUGUUUCGUUCAAAACAAAAAAAGCAAAAAAAAAGUGCCGCGUUCAACUUCCAACAACCAUUAAAAACAAACCUAUAUUUAAAGAUCUGAAUUGGUUUCCACUUUGGGUAGAGAAUGCUGUAGAAGUGUUGCCGACUAUAAAUCAGGAACUAAUAAAAUGAAAAGAAUUGUUAACAUUUAUUCCAUCAUAUUUGAAUAAUGUGUAUCCACAACCAAAUAAAACAUCAUAUAGAUACAAUUUUGAUGGGUUAUUAAGGUGUCAGAUGAACAUUUUCGAAUAAUAACUUCAAAGAAAUUGCCAUCUAGUUACCUUGUCACAGAUGUUCAUAAAGAUGAUAUGUCACCUGAAAGCAUAUUUCCUUCAAGUAAUUAUGAUUCAUAUCAGGAUUAUUUCGAAGACAAGUACACCAUCAGAGUAACAAAUAAAGACCAACCAUUAAUUCAAAAUAUCUACUGGUAAAGUAGAUAAACAGACUGAAUACAUUGAAAGACUAAUUCCAGAAUUUUGCAUGUGGCAUGAGUUUCCUUUAAGAGUUUAUUGGUUUAAAGCUUUAAUGUACAACGAACCAUAUUUUACCGAAAUAAACAAUUAUUAUUGGCCGAAGAUCUUCUUUUAAAAAUCAACCAAACGCGCGUCUUUGAAUUUUCAAAGGAUUAAAAACUUAAGCAUUUUGCCAAAACAAAUUAUGUGAUCUGUAAAAUAAUAAUAUACCUUUUUAAUAUUGUUAAA